GAACCAGCAACUUGGAGGAAUGCAUAGCGAAAGCUAGUUACAUUACAGUAAUGUGGUGUAGCCUCGACUACGUCGAAUAAAGUUCCAAGUAGAUUUUUAUAAUGAAAAAAUCUACUUGUAAGUCUUGACCAAAUUACGUGCCAGCAGUCGCGGUAAUACGUAGAAGACCAGUGUUAUUCAUCUUUAAUAGGUUUAAAGGGUACUCAGACGGCAGGAGUGGCCUUCAAGACAAGCAUACAUAUGUAUGGUAUACCACCAGUGGUGGUGUAUGACACCACUUUGCUAGAGUUAAAUACAUAUUUGGUAGUACAAACGGUGUAGAGAUGAAAUUCUUUGAUACCAUUCUUGGACUGGUAAGAGCGAAAGCUGUGAAUUAUGUAAUAACUGACGUUAAAGGACGAAGGCCUCGACGCAGCAAAUGGGAUUAGAUACCCCAGUAGCACAGCGCAGUAAAUGAUGAGUGUCAUAUAAUAGAUUUUUCUGUUGUAUAAAUGAAAGUGUAAGCACUCCACCUCAAGAGUAAUUUGGCAACAUUGGAACUGAAAUCAUUAGACCGUUUCUGAAACCAGUAGUGAAGUAUGUUGUUUAAUUAGAUGUUCCGCAAAAAACCUUACCACAAUUUGAAUAUAGAAAUUAUAAUUUCUGUACAAGCGCUGCACGGCUGUCUUCAGUUGAUGUCGUGAGAUUUUGGUUAGUUCCAUUAAAUCAACGUAAACCCUUACUUUAUUUAUUUAUAAAGUAGUUCGCCGUUAUAUAGGAAAUUAUAAUAGGGACUAAGACAAGUCAUCAUGGCCUUAAUAUUGU
rnacentral:rRNA from 1 species